rnacentral:misc_RNA from 1 species
ACACCUCAACUCUCAUGGCUUGCCAUGAUGAGCUUGGACUUUGGAGGUCUUGCUGGCCUGUGGUCGGCUCCUCUCAAAUGGAUCAGCUUACCAGUGUUUGGUGGCGUCAUGGGUGUGAUAACUAUCUACGCCUGUGAUUUUCUGCCGGAUAACCUUCAGUGAUGGAGGUACGCUGGAGCUCAUAAAUGUCUCUCCUCAGUGAAGACAGCUUUUUGAAC